rnacentral:rRNA from 1 species
AACGAACGCUGGCGGCAUGCCUAACACAUGCAAGUCGAGCGCCGUAGCAAUAACGGGAGCGCGGCCAACGGGGUGAGUAACGCGUGGGGAACCCUGCCCCAGAGGUUCGGGACAACCGCGGGAAACUGCGGCUGAUACCGGAUGAUACCUGAGGGUCAAAGAUUUAUCGCCUUUGGAGGGGCCCCGCGUCGGAUUAGGUAGUUGGUGGGGUAAUGGCUUACCAAGCCUAUGAUCCGUAGCUGGUCUGAGAGGAUGACCAGCCACACUGGGACUGAGACACGGCCCAGACUCCUACGGGAGGCAGCAGUGGGGAAUAUUGCGCAAUGGCGAAAGCCUGACGCAGCGACGCCGCGUGGU